rnacentral:lncRNA from 1 species
GGGUCUGUUUGGGAUUGCAGUUGAAAAUUGCUGGUGCUGUGAGUAAAAGUGCUGUUUAAAAAAGUGUUAUUUAUAAAAGCUGAGACUGUUUGGUAAAUUUGAUUUCAAAUGUACUGUUUGAGUAAAAGCUGAAAACAAACUGUUUGGUAAAUUUUUUAUUAAAUUGCUGUUUGGAGUUAUAGUUAUAAAUAAAAUAAUAUUUUAU